UCCAGACUCCUACGGGAGGCAGCAGUGGGGAAUAUUGGGCAAUGGGCGCAAGCCUGACCCAGCAACGCCGCGUGAAGGAAGAAGGCUUUCGGGUUGUAAACUUCUUUUGUCAGGGACGAAGCAAGUGACGGUACCUGACGAAUAAGCCACGGCUAACUACGUGCCAGCAGCCGCGGUAAUACGUAGGUGGCAAGCGUUAUCCGGAUUUACUGGGUGUAAAGGGCGUGUAGGCGGGGACGCAAGUCAGAUGUGAAAACCAUGGGCUCAACCUGUGGCCUGCAUUUGAAACUGUGUUUCUUGAGUACUGGAGAGGCAGGCGGAAUUCCUAGUGUAGCGGUGAAAUGCGUAGAUAUUAGGAGGAACACCAGUGGCGAAGGCGGCCUGCUGGGCUUUUACUGACGCUGAGGCUCGAAAGUGUGGGGAGCAAACAGGAUUAGAUACCCCAGUAA
rnacentral:rRNA from 1 species